CAGCAGCACGUAGCGCCAUCUUUUCUUUCUAGUCCUUGGGCUCGCUGCCCAAAGUUAGGUGAGAACGGUCAGCACAGGGCCCCUGAGAUUUGCAGGUCUGUGAGAAAACCCUGUUAGCUCUUGACAUUUCUACCGGCAAGAAAGAGGUCUGUGCUAAAUACCUUGAUUUCUGUGUAACCGUCUAUUCAGUGACAAGUCCCUUAAGGAUGUGGCGAAUGGAAAAGGACUCUUGCUCCUGCCUUUAGACUCCAACCUCAGAUUUUUCCCCACUGCUUAGCCUUGAAAGUGAACCACUCCUUAAUGGGCUUGGAUCCGGUUAGGGAGACAUUCAGAGCAAGGUGGCUCUUGGGGAAGCUGUCUUUGGAGAGGAUGUGUGCUGGGUUGCUAUCCUUGAGCAAUCUCCUUUCGGGAAAGCCAAAAGGAAGAAGAAAGUAGAGAGCGAAACACUGUCUCAAGUGUCUGAAGAAAACAAUUCCAAUGUUGCUGCUGACUUGAAAGACUUGAUUGGACCUUCAAAGAACAAAGCAGAAAAGAGUGUGGAAAUACCCUGGGACAAAGAGGACGCACAGGACUCUGGCCCAGGUGACCAUUUGGGACCUUUGCCUGAGACGGAUGCAGCUCAGGAGUGGAGUGCUUUCAGGUUUUCCUUCUUUGGAGACACAGAGGAGUUGGGCAUCAAAGAAGGAAUUCGGGAAGGCAUGCUUCGAGAAGGCAUUGGGUACUUUGCAGAGUGGUGGAAAAACUUGUUGUCAUGCCCUGAAUUCCUCAAAGAGGGCAAAAGAACCUUAGGUACUUGGAACAACAAAACCGGUACAAGUCACGUGGCAAGAGGAUCGACGUGUCCAAGACUGCAGUUCAGAGGGUGAUGAUGAACCCGAGAUGUCAGAAAUUGAAAAGGACCGAGAAAUGCAAGUUCCAUUGCUCUUUGUUGUCUCCUUGGCGAUAAUAGCUGGAUGCUGUGUCAAUAUUAAGAGCAGGACUCAGCAAGUGGGAAACUGACAUUGCACGCCCCUGAAAGCCAUCUUGGAAAACCAUUUGUGCUGCACAGAGUCAAAACGCCCAGCAGCCUGUUUGCUGUGAAGUGGAAUGUGGAAAAGGAGAAGUAGAGCACAAGAAAUUUUCCGGGUCAUUUGGGUUUGACCAACUCCAAACGGAGUUUGGCCAAAAGCCAAAGACACAGUCAGUUUUCUCUUUCAAAGUGGGUUUUGUAAAAUCAAAAGCUCUAUUUGGGUACUAUGGAAUAAAGUUUUUCAAUGUACAAAAUUUCUCUGAAGCACUACAGUUUCAAGUCAUGCGCAUGGAAUUUCAUAGUACAAUUUAGGAUGCUAAAAUCCCUUUGUAAUUGUCUAGGUUUCUUUCUUUACUACGCACACAGAAAGUGCUAGAGUUUGCUUCUUCUCCGACAAUGAUGAACGCCUAAGAAGUAGGACAGAAUUUCUCCACCCCCUUUUGGAUUUCUUUCCCUUCUGAACCUUUCCUGCACUAGUUAUGAAUGUUUUCUAGCAAAAUUUGCCACCCUUACUUGUGGCCAAAAUAGUGGUGGAAUCCCAUGAGCAAGUCCUGGUAAAAUAGAGGUCAAGCAGAUUUCUGGCUUACUUUUCUUUCAGAUAUUUGGCUAAUAGGAACCUGGAAUUUUAGAGCUUAUCAAAAACUUAGUCACUUGACAGGUUACCUAGACAGUUUGGAUCCCUUCAGGUAUGUGUAGCAUCUUGAACUUUUUCCUGCCUUUCUUUCGGGUGUUACCAUCAGGAAUGUUGAGUUUGGCUUGUAUGUGCCUGUGGUUCUUUGUCCUCAUGAAUCUGGGGCUUUCUCUUCUGAAUCCAGUGAAUUUGGUGUUUAGAAACAAAGC